GACGAACGCUGGCGGCGUGCUUAACACAUGCAAGUCGAACGGAAAGGCCCUGCUUUUGUGGGGUGCUCGAGUGGCGAACGGGUGAGUAACACGUGAGUAACCUGCCCUUGACUUUGGGAUAACUUCAGGAAACUGGGGCUAAUACCGGAUAGGAGCUCCUGCUGCAUGGUGGGGGUUGGAAAGUUUCGGCGUUGGGGGAUGGACUCGCGGCUUAUCAGCUUGUUGGUGGGGUAGUGGCUUACCAAGGCUUUGACGGGUAGCCGGCCUGAGAGGGUGACCGGCCACAUUGGGACUGAGAUACGGCCCAGACUCCUACGGGAGGCAGCAGUGGGGAAUAUUGCACAAUGGGCGGAAGCCUGAUGCAGCAACGCCGCGUGCGGGAUGACGGCCUUCGGGUUGUAAACCGCUUUCGCCUGUGACGAAGCGUGAGUGACGGUAAUGGGUAAAGAAGCACCGGCUAACUACGUG
rnacentral:rRNA from 1 species